GGAAGUAAAGUCGUAACAAGGUCUCCGUUGGUGAACCAGCGGAGGGAUCAUUAUCGAGUUUAUAACUCCCAAACCCUAUGUGAACUUACCACUUGUUGCUUCGGCGCGCGCUUCGGCGCCGCCGAGGACACUUAAACUCUUUGUUUUUAUAAGCAUUUCUGAGUGGCCGAAAGGCAAAAUACAAAUGAAUCAAAACUUUCAACAACGGAUCUCUUGGUUCUG
rnacentral:misc_RNA from 1 species